GACGAACGCUGGCGGCGUGCUUAACACAUGCAAGUCGAACGGACGGGCCCUGCUUUUGCGGGUCGCUUGUGUGGCGCACGGGUGUGUAUCACGCGUGUAUCCUGCCCUUGUCUUUGGGAUAACUUCAGGAAACUGGGGCUCUUACCGGAUAUGAGCUUCUGAUGCAUGGUGGGGGUUGGAAAGUUUCGGCGGUUGGGGAUGGACUCGAGGCUUACCAGCUUGUUGGUGGGGUAGUGGAUUUCAAAGCUUUUGACGGGUAGCCGGCCUGGGAGGGUGACCGGCCACAUUGGGACUGAGAGACGGCCCAGACGCCUACGGGAGGCAGCAGGGGGGAAUAUUGCACAGUGGGCGGAAGCCUGAUGCAGCAACGCCGCGUGCGGGAUGACGGCCUUCGGGGUGUAAACCGCUUUCGCCGGUGACGAAGCGUGAGUGACGGUAAUGGGUAAAGAAGCACCGGCUAACUACGUG
rnacentral:rRNA from 1 species